CAAUAAUUGUACCUCGUAUCACGUAUCACCUGAAUAAGGUGUAAGCUGGGUCAUUCCCCCCCCCCCUUUUCUUGGUUUUUCAAAAGUUUUGAGUGAUUGUAUUACGAAAACGGAGGGGAGAAUUAUUGAGAAUUUCCAGAAAUAUUUCAAAUAAAUAAUCACCGCGUAUCUUGUAUGCGUGUAAAACGUAAUUGAUAUUUUGUCUGUAUCUUAAUCGUGUAACUACGCAUAAUAUUUAAUAACGCAUAAAAUGUAAACAUCAAGUAUCUAUUGUGUCGCAACAACUCUUGUUACAAAAUUAUAUGAUCGUGUAUGUUAUCUGGAUACUAAUUUUGAAGUAUCUUGUCCAUCCCCGACGAUGCGUGCCUAAUCAUUAUUAAUAACGCACCGCGAGUUGGAGUGUUGUUCGAAAACCGGUUGCUAUAAUAAUUUAAUAUAACAUCGGUGGCACGGCGAUAAAAAAAAAAAAAAAAAAAAUGUUCAUCAAUACUACUUUCGCGUUUAAGCCCAAAUACGGU